CAACUUCACGAGAUUGAUAUCAUCUCCUAUCUUCUUGCUGGUUUGGAUUCCAGUUAUGAUCCGUUGGUUGCUUCCAUCACCACUUGAGUUGAUCCUCUAUAUUUGGAGGAUAUCUAUAGUAACAUGCUCAGUUUUGAGC